rnacentral:rRNA from 1 species
AGCGAACGCUGGCGGCAGGCUUAACACAUGCAAGUCGAGGGGCAGCACGGACUUCGGUCUGGUGGCGACCGGCAAACGGGUGCGGAACACGUACACAAUCUACCUUUAUCUGGGGUAUAGCCCGAAGAAAUUCGGAUUAAUCCCCCAUAAUAUAUUAGAGUGGCAUCACUUCGAUAUUAAAACUCCGGUGGAUAAAGAUGAGUGUGCGUCCCAUUAGCUAGUUGGUAGGGUAACGGCCUACCAAGGCAACGAUGGGUAGCUGGUGUGAGAGCACGACCAGCAACACGGGCACAGUGACACGGGCCCGACUCCUACGGGAGGCAGCAGUGAGGAAUAUUGGUCAAUGGACGCAAGUCUGAACCAGACGUGCCGCGUGAAGGAUGAAGGCCUUCUGGGUUGUAAACUUCUUUUAUUGGGGAAGAAAAUUACGGUUUCUACUGUAACCGACGGUACCCAAGGAAUAAGCACCGGCUAACUCCGUGCCAGCCGCCGCGGUAA